UGGGGAAUAUUGCACAAUGGGCGCAAGCCUGAUGCAGCCAUGCCGCGUGUAUGAAGAAGGCCUUCGGGUUGUAAAGUACUUUCAGCGGGGAGGAAGGGAGUAAAGUUAAUACCUUUGCUCAUUGACGUUACCGACAGAAGAAGCACCGGCUAACUCCGUGCCAGCAGCCGCGGUAAUACGGAGGGUGCAAGCGUUAAUCGGAAUUACUGGGCGUAAAGCGCACGCAGGCGGUUUGUUAAGUCAGAUGUGAAAUCCCCGGGCUUAACCCGGGAAUUGCAUCUGAUACUGGUCAGCUAGAGUCUUGUAGAGGGGGGUAGAAUUCCAUGUGUAGCGGUGAAAUGCGUAGAGAUGUGGAGGAAUACCGGUGGCGAAGGCGGCCCCCUGGACAAAGACUGACGCUCAGGUGCGAAAGCGUGGGGAGCAAACAGG
rnacentral:rRNA from 1 species